rnacentral:lncRNA from 1 species
UACUGUAGAUGUCCUAUCGUUGGAGAAACUCGAAUGUUGACGAAGUCCGAAAGAAGUUCGAAGUAAAGUCGUUCAUGGUCGGAAGAAGUCUGAAAGAGAUUCAGAGAAUAGUCGAUCACUGUAGAGAAUCGACUGAUAGUGGAGUUCAGAGAGCAUUUGGAGCAGUCCAGUAGAUGAAUAGAAGAGCUCAUUAUUGAAGGAGUCCGGAUGGUAUUAUGGAAGCUCGGACGGUCGGAGGAGUUUGGAAAGAUGCCACA